GGUGGGGUAGCACAGUGGCUUAGUGGUUAGCCCUGUUACCUCACACCUCUGGGGUUGGGGGCUCGAUUCCCACCUCUGUCC